rnacentral:rRNA from 1 species
AGAGUUUGAUCNUGGCUCAGGAUGAACGCUGGCGGCGUGCUUAACACAUGCAAGUCGAACGAACCUUCGGGUUAGUGGCGGACGGGUGAGUAACGCGUGAGAAUCUGCCCUCAGGAGGGGGACAACAGCUGGAAACGGCUGCUAAUACCCCAUAUGCCGCGAGGUGAAAUGAAUUUCGCCUGAGGAUGAGCUCGCGUCUGAUUAGCUAGUUGGUGUAGGUAAUGGCUCACCAAGGCAUCGAUCAGUAGCUGGUCUGAGAGGAUGAUCAGCCACACUGGGACUGAGACACGGCCCAGACUCCUACGGGAGGCAGCAGUGGGGAAUUUUCCGCAAUGGGCGAAAGCCUGACGGAGCAACGCCGCGUGAGGGAUGAAGGCCUCUGGGCUGUAAACCUCUUUUAUCAAGGAAGAAGAUCUGACGGUACUUGAUGAAUAAGCCACGGCUAAUUCCGUGCCAGCAGCCGCGGUAAUACGGGAGUGGCAAGCGUUAUCCGGAAUUAUUGGGCGUAAAGCGUCCGCAGGCGGCCCUUCAAGUCUGCCGUUAAAAAGUGGAGCUUAACUCCAUCAUGGCAGUGGAAACUGUUGGGCUUGAGUGUGGUAGGGGCAGAGGGAAUUCCCGGUGUAGCGGUGGAAUGCGUAGAUAUCGGGAAGAACACCAGUGGCGAAGGCGCUCUGCUGGGCCAUCACUGACGCUCAUGGACGAAAGCCAGGGGAGCGAAAGGGAUUAGAUACNNNUGUAGUCCUGGCCGUAAACGAUGAACACUANGUGUCGGGGGAAUCGACCCNCUCGGUGUCG